rnacentral:rRNA from 1 species
GCCUGACUGUAAAUUACUAGCCAAAAAAGUACAAGCCGCCGCUUCAAACUUUAAGGACCUGGCGGUACUCUAAAUCAUCCUAGAGGGGCCUGCCCUGUAACCGAUAAUCCACGAAGAACCUCACCAUCUCUUGCCUUCAGCCUAUAUACCGCCGUCUCCAGCACAUUUCACAAAAAAUGGAGCUUAACAGUAUUACACACUAGCACGUCAGGUCAAGGUGUAGCUCAUGAGACGGAAUAAGCGCGGACCACACUACAACAACACACGAAAACCCCAUUGAAACACGGGGUGAAAGACGAAUUUAGCAGUAAGCGGAGCCGAAUGCCCCGCUGAACAAACACGCCCUAGAGUACGC